GACGAACGCUGGCGGCGUGCUUAACACAUGCAAGUCGAGCGGAAAGGCCCUUCGGGGUCCUCGAGCGGCGAACGGGUGAGUAACACGUGAGUAACCUGCCCCAGACUUUGGGAUAACCCUCGGAAACGGGGGCUAAUACCGGAUACGACACAGCUUCGCAUGGGGUCUGUGUGGAAAGUUUUUCGGUUUGGGAUGGGCUCGCGGCCUAUCAGCUUGUUGGUGGGGUGAUGGCCUACCAAGGCGACGACGGGUAGCCGGCCUGAGAGGGCGACCGGCCACACUGGGACUGAGACACGGCCCAGACUCCUACGGGAGGCAGCAGUGGGGAAUAUUGCACAAUGGGCGGAAGCCUGAUGCAGCGACGCCGCGUGAGGGAUGACGGCCUUCGGGUUGUAAACCUCUUUCAGCGGGGACGAAGCGUAAGUGACGGUACCUGCAGAAGAAGCGCCGGCCAACUACGUG
rnacentral:rRNA from 1 species